GUUUUUUUGUCUUUUG
rnacentral:sRNA from 1 species